CCGGGCCGGGCCGUGUCUGUUGGGGGCGGCGAGGGGCCGAGGCGGCGGGGCGGGCAGGAGCGGGCACCGGCGCGGCUCCGCUCGGCUCCUCUCCGGCUCCCGCCGGGCCCGUCGGCGCCGGCCGGCCCCGGCGCGGCAGGGCACGAUGGCGCCCGGGCUGGGGCCGUGGCUCCUGGCCUUGUGGCUGGCCGCGGGGCCGGCAGGGGUGUGGGCGCAGGUGAGGCUGCUGGAGUCCGGCGGAGGGCUGCGAGCGCCCGGGGGCUCCGUGCGCCUCUCCUGCCGCGGGUCCGGAUUCGACUUCGGGAGCUAUGCAGUGCGGUGGUACCGUCAGGCUCCCGGUGGCAGUCUCGAGUGCCCUUUCUCAGGUGCAGACAGAGGCCUCCGGCCCCACUGUGUGGGAUGUCUCCGAGUCUGUCACGCUUACCUGCCACAUCUCUGGAUCUCUGGUGCACCCAUCAGCGACAGCAGCUACGCUUGGGACUGGAUCCGACAGACUCCUGGCAGAGACCUGCAGCAUAUAGCGUUGCAGUAUCCUUUCACAAGAGUCCAGCAUAUUGCUUCAUCCUUCCAGGCGCAAGUCCGCACCUCUGCAGACCCGUUGAGGAACCAGCUGUCACUGGAAGUUGUCUCUCCAUCAGCUGCAGACACGGCUACCUAUUUCUGCAGCACCAGAGAGCUGGAAAAGGGCACAGUGCUUGAAACACAGGCAGGGCCAGGCCAGAACUUGAAGGAGGGGGUUUAAACCCAGCCAGGUCUUUUGUGGUUGGCUGCAGGAAGGCUUCUCAGGACUAGUCUAGGUUGGCUUUUCCUAGAAACAGGCACAGAGGUGCUGCAGCAGCAGCUGCAGAGUCUCCCACAAGCACACGUUAAAACCCAUGAAGAUAUUGUUAACCUUCUUCCAUUCUUCUCAGUCUCUCCCACAGACAGAAAGCAACAGAGAAAGAGGUUUGUUUAAGAAGCAGGACAGGGAGCAUUGAAGAACCAAAGUUUGAACAUGGAAAUCCUGAACAGGUUUGGAUUUUGACACCUCAUGUUGUUCAGUCUACCCCAGAGCCUGCUGAUGUAGGCAGGACAACAGAGGCUCAGGAUACGCUUGUCUCUUCCGCGUCAGCUUACGCAAGGACACCCAGAUUUCCACAGCCCAUUCCUGACAGACUUGAAUGUCUAGUGCGAUGGUAUGGGUAGACGUACAGGGGCCUACCCACGGAAUAAUUAAUGCGUGCCUCCAAAGGCUGCAGGGCAAUGUCAGCUGCAGGGCAAUGCCCACCUGUACUGUGUGUCCGUGGAGGCUUAUCAGUCCCUUGGACACCCAGUAUUGCUGUUGUUUUGGUGCCAAGACUUUGCCCAACGGGGCUUGGCCUACAGAUGUGGCUGGUAUUUUCCAAAUCCUGGAGAUACCGGGCUGUGAUGGUGUCGUGGUUCAGCUUCAGCUGGCAACUGAACACCACACAGCCACUCGCUCACUCCCCACCCCACCCCACCCCUGUGGGAUGGGAAAAAGAAUCGACGAGCAAAAGCACUUGUGGGUUGAGAUAAGCACAGUUUAAUAAUUACAAUAAAAUAAUAAUUAUGAUGAUGAUGAUAAUAAUGUCAAUAAUGUUAAUAUAAUAAAAUGGAAAAGGAAGGGAAAGAAAAAAGGAAAAUAAAACCACAGAAACACAAACGAUACAAUCACUCACCACCUGCCGACUGACACUGCCCGUCCCUGAGCCACGAUUGCUGCCUCCCUCCCCCGGCCAGUCCCUCCCAGGUAACAUACUGGGCAUGACGUUACAUGGUAUGGACUAUCCCUUUGGUCAGUUUGAAUCCGCUCUCUCAGCUGUGCCCCCUCCCCUCCCGGCUGCCUGUGCCCCCAGCAGAGCAUGGGAGGCUGGACAUGUCCUUGACUAGUACAAGCACUACCCAGCAACAGCCCAAACAUCUGUGUGUUAUCUCAACGUUUUUUUUCCAUGCUAAGUUCAAAGCACAGCACUAUGCCAGCUAGAGUGAAGGAAGUUAACUCUAUCCCAGCUAAAACCAUGACAGUAUGCACCCCUUAUUCCAUAGCAUUUACAUCAUGCUCAGGUCCCAUACUAUUCAAUACAAUUUCAAUAAUCCUUGCCCACCUUCUCAUCCUUUAAUAGAAUAUACAGAUUUCCAUUGAUCAUUCC